UACAGAGGUCCCAAGCGUUGUUCGGAUUCACUGGGCGUAAAGGGUGCGUAGGCGGUCGGGUAAGUCUGAUGUGAAAUCUCCAAGCUCAACUUGGAAAUGGCAUCGGAUACUAUUCGGCUCGAGGAAUGGAGGGGAGACUGGAAUACUUGGUGUAGCAGUGAAAUGCGUAGAUAUCAAGUGGAACACCAGUGGCGAAGGCGAGUCUCUGGACAUUUCCUGACGCUGAGGCACGAAAGCCAGGGGAGCAAACAGG
rnacentral:rRNA from 1 species